CAGCAGCCGCGGUAAUACGAAGGGUGCAAGCGUUAAUCGGAAUUACUGGGCGUAAAGCGUGCGUAGGCGGUGAGUUAAGUCUGCUGUGAAAUCCCCGGGCUCAACCUGGGAAUGGCAGUGGAUACUGGCAAGCUAGAGUGUGUCAGAGGAUGGUGGAAUUCCCGGUGUAGCGGUGAAAUGCGUAGAGAUCGGGAGGAACAUCAGUGGCGAAGGCGGCCAUCUGGGACAACACUGACGCUGAGGCACGAAAGCGUGGGGAGCAAACAGGAUUAGAUACCCCAGUAGUCCCUGUCUCUUAUAC
rnacentral:rRNA from 1 species